UUGAUUUAUUAUCAUUGUGACUCGGACGACAAUGUUUUAAAGCAGGGUUGUGAUGGUCCUGCGGCGGGCGCUGCCCGGGGCCUCGCGGCUCCCGGGGGCGGACUUUUUGAGGGCCAGCGGGCCCGCCGAGGCAACACGUUUCGCGACAACAAAGGGUGGGAGUUUGGGCCCCGGAGGACCCCGACUCUUUAAUGAUCCUUCCGCAGGUUCACCUACGGAAA
rnacentral:misc_RNA from 1 species